AUAAAGAGUAUUACCUGCCCGGUGUAAUAUAUAAACGGCCGCAGUACUCUGACUGUGCGAAGGUAGCAAAAUAAAUUGUCUUUUAAUUGGAGACUAGUAUCAACGGUUUCACAAGAGUAAAACUGUUUCUAUAUAAAUUUUAAAAAUUUAAUUUCUAGGUGAAGAAGCCUAGGUAAAAUUAAAAGACGAGAAGACCCUAUCGAACUUUAAUAAAUGAAAAUAAUUUAAUAUAAUAUUCUCAUAAAAAUAUUAAAUAUAUUUUUAUUAUUUUUAUUGGGGCAAUAAUGGAACAAAAGAAGCUUCCAUUUAUAAAUUAAAAUCAAUAAAUAAUGAUCCUUAUUAAUGACAAAAGAUAAGUUACCGUAGGGAUAACAGCAUAAUUUUUCUAGAGAGUCCAUAUCGAAAGAAAAGUUUGUGACCUCGAUGUUUGACCAAAAUAUCCGAAAGAUUGUAGCAGUCUUUAAAGGUUGGUCUGUUCGACCAUUAAUAUUUUA
rnacentral:rRNA from 1 species